rnacentral:rRNA from 1 species
AUUGAACGCUGGCGGCAUGCCUUACACAUGCAAGUCGAACGGCAGCACGGGGCAACCUGGUGGCGAGUGGCGAACGGGUGAGUAAUGCAUCGGAACGUGCCAUUGAGUGGGGGAUAACGUAGCGAAAGUUGCGCUAAUACCGCAUAUUCUGUGAGCAGGAAAGCAGGGGACCGCAAGGCCUUGCGCUCUUUGAGCGGCCGAUGUCAGAUUAGCUAGUUGGUGAGGUAACGGCUUA